ACCACCAUGAGACUCUGGACCAGACCACCACGAGACUCUGGACCAGACCACCACGAGACUCUGGACCAGACCACCACGAGACUCUGGACCAGACCACCACGAGACUCUGAACCAGACCACCACGAGACUCUGGACCAGACCACCACGAGCAGACAGCUGGACUUCAUGUGCGCUCUUGGUGAAAUGACCAGGUCCCUCAGGAUCCUGUGGAGCUCAUGGGCCAUGACACCAGGACCUACUUCAGCAUCUCAAAGAGAAUGGACCAAAUGUCAACUGGAAUUUUUUUUAUUCAUAUAGUUUGAAAAGGAUUGUUUUCCUAGUAUAUUCACAAAAGCUCAGGAGGAGACGUAUGAACCUGUGACACACACAUCCAUCACAUAGAGACAUGAGAACUCACACACACACACACACACACACACAUACAUUCAUUCUGUUAUGUCAAUGAAUUUGCAUUUUAAAAGCAGCUGGAAUUGUUAUUUUUGUUAUUUUAUAGAUUUUUUUGUUCAAAAGGAACUAAUAUGUUGCCCGUAUUUUUUUAAAUAUAUUUACUUGAUGUUAUACGCAUUUGUUCAUGGGACCUAAAUGUUCUGAAAAUGUUGUAUUAAUAAAUACAACAGCAAUGACA